GACGAACGCUGGCGGCGUGCUUAACACAUGCAAGUCGAACGGAAAGGCCCUGCUUUUGUGCGCUGCUCGAGUGGCGAACGGGUGAGUAACACGUGAGUAACCUGCACCUGACUGUGGGAUAACUUCAGGACACUGGGGCUAAUACCGGCAAGGAGCUCCUGCUGUAUGGUGGGCGUUGGAAAGUUUCGGCGGUUGGGGGUGGACUCGCGUCUUAUCAGCUUGUUGGUUGGGUGGUGGAUUACCAAGGCCUUGACAGGUAGCAGGCCUGGUAGGGUGACCGGCCCAAUCGGGCUUGGACUACGACACAGCCUCGUACGGGAGGCGAGGGUGGAGUAGGUUGCACAGGGGGCGGAAGCCUGAUGUAGCACCGCCGCGCGGCGUAUGAGAGGCUUCGGGUUGUAUACCGCUUUCGUCUGUCACGAAGCGUUAGUGACGGUAAUGGGUAAAGAAGCACCGGCUAACUACGUG
rnacentral:rRNA from 1 species